CUAGUAAUGGCAGGUCAGCAUACUGCCGUGAAUACGUUCCCGGGCCUUGUACACACCGCCCGUCACACCAUGAGAGUUGGGAAUACCCGAAGCCUGUGAGCCAACUUUUAAAGAGGCAACAGUCGAAGGUAGAAUCAAUGAUUGGGGUGAAGUCGUAACAAGGUAGC
rnacentral:rRNA from 1 species